GAUGAACGCUGGCGGCGUGCCUAAUACAUGCAAGUCGAACGAACAGACGCGGAACUUUCUCCUCUGACGUUAGAGGCGGACGGGAUACUAACGAGUGGAUCACCUACCUAUAAGUAUGUGAUCACUACGGGAAAUAGGAGCUAAUACCAGAUAAUAAAGUGAACCGCAUGGUUCAAUAGUGAACGCCGGUUUUGCUGCCAAUUAUAGAUUGAUCCGCGCCGCAUUAGCUAGUUGGUAAGGUAACGGCUUACCAAGGCAACGAUGCGUAGCCGACCUGAGAGGGUGAUCGGCCACACUGGAACUGAGACACGGUCCAGACUCCUACGGGAGGCAGCAGUAGGGAAUCUUCCGCAAUGGGCGCAAGCCUGACGGAGCAACGCCGCGUGAGUGAUGAAGGUCUUCGGAUCGUAAAACUCUGUUAUUAGGGAAGAACAAAUGUGUAAGUAACUAUGCACGUCUUGACGGUACCUAAUCAGAAAGCCACGGCUAACUACGUG
rnacentral:rRNA from 1 species